UGAGGAAACACCGGUUCUCGUACGACCACCGAAGUUAAGCAACGUCGAGCCUGGUCAGUACCUAGAUGGGUGACCGCUUCGGCAUAGCA